UGCUCACGGCUAUGAUGUCAUUACUCCUCC
rnacentral:piRNA from 1 species